rnacentral:rRNA from 1 species
CAGCCGCCGCGGUAAUACGGAGGGUGCAAGCGUUAAUCGGAAUUACUGGGCGUAAAGCGCACGCAGGCGGUUUGUUAAGUCAGAUGUGAAAUCCCCGGGCUCAACCUGGGAACUGCAUCUGAUACUGGCAAGCUCGAGUCUCGUAGAGGGGGGUAGAAUUCCAGGUGUAGCGGUGAAAUGCGUAGAGAUCUGGAGGAAUACCGGUGGCGAAGGCGGCCCCCUGGACGAAGACUGACGCUCAGGUGCGAAAGCGUGGGGAGCAAACAGGAUUAGAUACCCCGGUAGUCCCUGUCUCUUAUAC